rnacentral:rRNA from 1 species
GGGUCAGUAGGUUGGUCGUGCCACCGGUACGUACUGGUCUCACUGAUUCCUCCUUCCUGAAGAACCGUAAUGCCAUUAAUUUGGCGUUGCGGGGAAACAGGACUGUUACUUUGAAAAAAUUAGAGUGUUUAAAGCAAGCUCACGCUUGAAUACAUUAGCAUGGAAUAAUGAAAUAGGACGAUCGAUCCUAUUUUGUUGGUUUCUAGGAUUGACGUA